AUACUUGAGGACGCCAGGGGUGAAGAAGGGUGUAGCCUUUGGGAGCCUUGCCGCCAGAUCCGCCGUAUCCAGCGGCCCCGCGCGUCCCCGACAUCCCUCUUGUCGUGGUCUAGGGUGCUGCGAUGUCGUCUUGCCGUGGUCUCCAUUCGGCAUCAGCAUCUACAGUGUGCACUCUUGCAGGAAACUAGAAAAGAACAUGAGAAGAUUAUGCCAGUGGUGGUGGUGCCACUGGAAUGCCAUCCUCGACAUGUCCUUCGUCAACGUUCGUCGCCGGCGGCCAACACAAAGGGUCAACCCAGGACGACCACACCACAAUUGAUGACAGGCUUCGGUGGCAGGCGAUGCGAUGCCCUCUGGAUUGUGCUUUUUUUUUUUUGGUACCGAGUGUAUAUGUGUUUGUAA
rnacentral:lncRNA from 2 species